rnacentral:rRNA from 1 species
GCCUUGUGCCAGCAGCCGCGGUAAUUCCAGCUCCAAUAGCGUAUAUUAAAGUUGUUGCGGUAAAAAAGCUCGUAGUUGGAUUUCUGUUGAGGACGACCGGUCCAUACCACGUAUGCGCAUCUGGCUCGGCCUCGGCAUCCUCUCGCGAAACGUUUCUGCGCUUGAUUGCGUGGAGCGGGUCUCGGGACUUUUACUUUGAGGAAAUUAGAGUGUUCACGGCAGGCUAUCGCCCGAAUACAUUAGCAUGGAAUAAUACUAUAGGAUUUCGCACCUAUUUUGUUGGUUUCUAGGCGUGAAAUAAUGAUUAAUAGGGACAAUUGGGGGCAUUCGUAUCAACACGUCAGAGGUGGAAUUCUUGGAUUGUGUUGCGACGAACUACUGCGAAAGCAUUUGCCAAGGAUGUUUUCAUUGAUCAAGAACGAAAGUAAGGGGAUCGAAGACGAUUAGAUACCGUCGUAGUCUUUACCAUAAACUAUGCCAACUAGAGAUGGGGCAUCGUUCACUUACGACUUGCUCCGCACCUUAUGAGAUAUCAAAGUCUUUGGGUUCCGGGGAGAGUAUGGUCGCAAGGCUGAAACUUAAAGGAAUUGACGGAAGGGCACCACCAGGAGUGGAGCCUGCGGCUUAAUUUGACUCAACACGGGGAAACUCACCAGGUCCAGACAUAAUAAGGAUUGACAGAUUGAUAGCUCUUUCUUGAUUUUAUGGGUGGUGGUGCAUGGCCGUUCUUAGUUCGUGGAGUGAUUUGUCUGCUUAAUUGCGUUAACGAACGAGACCUUAACCUGCUAAAUAGGAGCACCUAUCUUCGGAUAAGUGCCUUUCUUCUUAGAGGGACUUUAUGCGUUUCAGCAUGAGGAAGUUUGAGGCUAAAACAGGUCUGUGAUGCC